rnacentral:lncRNA from 1 species
GUCUAACUUUCAAACUUACCCAUUUUACCUUUAACCAUGGAGCUUUACAGCUUUUGCAUAAGUCUUGAGUAAUUGAAAGAUAGAACAAUCAAGUCAAGCACUAUGUCUCAAAUUCUUCACAGUAUCAAUAUUUCAGAGUUUUGUAAUUUUUCGAAAUAAAUCUCAGAGCAUGAUUGUAUGACACCCUCAAGUCUUUUAUUAUGUAGUAUUUAUGGAUCUCACUAAGUAAAUUCUUAUAUCAAAAUAGUCAUGUCCAAAAUCUCAGGAGAAUUCAUGGUUGAAAACUAGGCACUUGAAAGGAAUUACGGUAGAGCAACUAUUCAUAAUCUCUAAGACAAAAUUUUAAUAUUAUCUACUUUUUUUAUUUGACUCUAAACUAGACUGACUCUAGACACACUCUAUGAUCACACCUUAAUAUAUAGAUACGUAUUUUAUUUGGUUUUUAUUUAUUUCUAUUGGACUCAGAAGACUCUAAAGAUAUAGACUUUUAUGUGCCCAUAUAUUUUUGGUAUUUUUAUUUUUUCUUAUGAUACUAUUUUGAACCUUCAUGUGCUCACAUAUUUUUGGUAUUUUAUGACUAUAUAAAAUAGACUCGAUAAUUGCCUAGGUAUAGUUACCUGAUAACUAGGAGAUGCUCCUCUCCAAAGCUAGAUGUUUGCAAUACUUGGUGUCGAUGAUCUUCAGAGCGAGUCCUGGUGGUUGCCACUAUUAGACUCUCUUCUUGUCCUAAUAUUGUCCCUGCAUAAUUAUAUUCUAAAAGAAAACUAAAACUUGAGGCUCGAAUUUGAUAAGAGGGUAGAUCAACCAAUAAGUAAUUGAUUAUUCUUAUGAGUUGAUUUCAAAUUGAUAAGUUCUAGUAGGAUUCUUUUUUAGGAUUUUCUAGUUUAAUUAUGCAGUAAUGAAAUAUGUGUACAUGAUGUAUAGUCUUAUUAUUAUUAUAUAUAUAUAUAUAUAUAUUAUGCCACCAUAGAGAAUAGUUAUUCUUAUGGGGCUUAGGCUUUUCAUAAUGCA